UACGUAGGGGGCAAGCGUUGUCCGGAAUUAUUGGGCGUAAAGAGCGCGUAGGCGGUCCGAUAAGUCGGCUGUGAAAGUCAGGGGCUCAACCCUUGAAAGCCGGCCGAUACUGUCGGACUAGAGUUCGGAAGAGGCAAGUGGAAUUCCCGGUGUAGCGGUGAAAUGCGCAGAUAUCGGGAGGAACACCAAUUGCGAAGGCAGCUCGCUGGGACGUUACUGACGCUGAGACGCGAAAGCGUGGGGAGCAAACAGG
rnacentral:rRNA from 1 species